AUUGGAAUAUGCUCUUUGUGGCUGAGGGAAUAAUUCCUUCAGUACAUGGCAUCUUUGGUACUUAUAUAUAGUACCAUUUCUAUACAGAAAAUCAGAUUUGGAUAACCUAAAAGAAAGACCUCAAAGUUCUAUGCAUUCUCUCAUUCUAAGUUUACUCGAAAAGCAUACUAGUUUUUUUUUUUUUUACAAAAGGGUUCUAUUUCAUGGGAAUUUCUAGGUUCUAAGUUGAAGUAGAGUUGGUCAUUGAAGCUGUGAUUUUAGUUGUUGCUUUGGUUGCUGUUUUCCUGGUCGAUUUUCAUAUUGUUUUGACCUCAGGAUUUUGCUUUCCUUGUUGCUGUAUCAGUCUUCUUAUUUAUUUUCAGUAGGGACCUGACUUGAUCUUGUCACUACUCUAUCGAGGUUAGACUUGACACUUAUUGGGUACUAUUGUGGUGUACGCAUGCUACUCUUCUACACAUCUUUUUGUGCAUAUCUAGGUACUUCCUACCAUCCUAUGCAUUAGCUAGGAUUCUGCUACGGAGACUUCAAGGUAUACCUGCCAUCGUCCGCAGGCCUCAGAGUUCUCCUCCCUCUAGAUAUCAUUAUGCAUUAUCGUUUUAGAUAUAGACAUUGAUGUAUCGGAUUAUCCAGUAUUUCUACUUAAAGCUUGUGACUUGUAUUUCAUCGGGUCUCGGGAGUUGUAUAUGUUAAUUUGCAGAGUUUGUUUUACAUA